AUACGUAGGGUGCAAGCGUUAAUCGGAAUUACUGGGCGUAAAGCGUGCGCAGGCGGUUUUGUAAGACAGAGGUGAAAAACCCGGGCUCAAACUGGGACAUGCCUUUGUGACUGCAAGGCUAGAGUACGGCAGAGGGGGAUGGAAUUCCGCGGGAUGCAGGGAUAUGCGUAGAUAUGCGGAGGAACACCGAUGGCGAAGGCAAUCCCCUGGGCCUGUACUGACGCUCAUGCACGAAAGCGUGGGGAGCAAACAGGAUUAGAUACCCUGGUAGUCCACGCCCUAAACGAUGUCAACUGGUUGUUGGGUCUUCAUUGACUCAGUAACGAAGCUAACGCGUGAAGUUGACCGCCUGGGGAGUACGGCCGCAAGGUUGAAACUCAAAUGAAUUGACGGGG
rnacentral:rRNA from 1 species